rfam:Picea glauca, whole genome shotgun sequence.
UCUUAUGUACAUGGCUACAACAUUAAUGUAGUGGAUCCCAUUAGAACUCUGUGGUUAAACGCGCUUGGCCUAGAGUAGUACUGGGAUGGGUGACCACUUAGGAAGUCAUAGUGUUUUACAC